rnacentral:rRNA from 1 species
CUGGCUCAGAUUGAACGCUGGCGGCAGGCCUAACACAUGCAAGUCGAGCGGUAGAGAGGUGCUUGCACCUCUUGAGAGCGGCGGACGGGUGAGUAAUGCCUAGGAAUCUGCCUGGUAGUGGGGGAUAACGCUCGGAAACGGACGCUAAUACCGCAUACGUCCUACGGGAGAAAGCAGGGGACCUUCGGGCCUUGCGCUAUCAGAUGAGCCUAGGUCGGAUUAGCUAGUUGGUGGGGUAAUGGCUCACCAAGGCGACGAUCCGUAACUGGUCUGAGAGGAUGAUCAGUCACACUGGAACUGAGACACGGUCCAGACUCCUACGGGAGGCAGCAGUGGGGAAUAUUGGACAAUGGGCGAAAGCCUGAUCCAGCCAUGCCGCGUGUGUGAAGAAGGUCUUCGGAUUGUAAAGCACUUUAAGUUGGGAGGAAGGGCAUUAACCUAAUACGUUAGUGUUUUGACGUUACCGACAGAAUAAGCACCGGCUAACUCUGUGCCAGCAGCCGCGGUAAUACAGAGGGUGCAAGCGUUAAUCGGAAUUACUGGGCGUAAAGCGCGCGUAGGUGGUUCGUUAAGUUGGAUGUGAAAGCCCCGGGCUCAACCUGGGAACUGCAUUCAAAACUGUCGAGCUAGAGUAUGGUAGAGGGUGGUGGAAUUUCCUGUGUAGCGGUGAAAUGCGUAGAUAUAGGAAGGAACACCAGUGGCGAAGGCGACCACCUGGACUGAUACUGACACUGAGGUGCGAAAGCGUGGGGAGCAAACAGGAUUAGAUACCCUGGUAGUCCACGCCGUAAACGAUGUCAACUAGCCGUUGGGAGCCCUUG